ACUCCUACGGGAGGCAGCAGUGGGGAAUAUUGCACAAUGGGGGAAACCCUGAUGCAGCCAUGCCGCGUGUGUGAAGAAGGCCUUCGGUUGUAAAGCACUUUCAGUAGGGAGGAAGGUAGUGUAGUUAACACCUGCAUUAUUUGACGUUACCUACAGAAGAAGCACCGGCUAACUCCGUGCCAGCAGCCGCGGUAAUACGGAGGGGUGCGAGCGUUAAUCGGAAUUACUGGGCGUAAAGCGCAUGCAGGCGGCCUGUUAAGUCAGAUGUGAAAGCCCGGGGGCUUAACCUCGGAAAUUGCAUUUGAAACUGGCAGGCUAGAGUCUUGUAGAGGGGGUAGAAUUUCAGGUGUAGCGGUGAAAUGCGUAGAGAUCUGAAGGAAUACCAGUGGCGAAGCGGCCCCUGGACAAAGACUGACGCUCAGAUGCGAAAGCGUGGGGAGCAAACAGGAUUAGAUACCCUGGUAGACUGUCAUA
rnacentral:rRNA from 1 species